GUUGUUGUCCUAGAUAUGUGUGGGGUCAAAAAAAUCUAACAUGGAAGAGAUGCUUAAGACAUGGGUUUGGCUUUUUGUCAAUAGAUUUGUUUUAACUACAAUUCAUUGACCUAAUAUGAUUAGGGUUUAUGAUUAUAGAUUAAAUCAGAUUUAUAGUUCUAAUUUAAUUAGAAAUUAUGUUUAAUUAAAGUUGAUCAAAUUGUCAUUGACCUAAUUUGAUUAGAGCUUAAGUCAUAGU
rnacentral:lncRNA from 1 species